ensembl:lncRNA
UUUGAACACUACGCGAGAGUCUUCAUGAAGGUGUCAUCAUGUACAACCACACAAAAGACAUAAAUGAGAGAAGAAAAACUUUGUUCUCUGUACUGUCAAGCAUAGCAGUCGUAAAUGGAGAGGUGUAUGCGUGACUGUGAGUGUGUGUCUACUUUGACCCCAGAGAUUCCCCUGAAGCAAUGAGGUGUGGGUACAAAUCAAACUUCAUUAGAUUCACAAGCAGUGAGCCCUUUGGUGUGCCAAAGAGGCAGAACAGAGGAGAACUUAACCAUGGAAAAACAGUUUCUAUUUAAAUGUCACUUUUCCAUUAUUCAGCGCUGGGCCUCUUCACCGUGAUAGAAAAUAAAAAUCUAAUGUAAAAGCAGGACAUCAGAACCUGGAGGUAGUGUCAUGGUCCGUGGUCCUGUGUCUGUGGAAUGCGUGAUGCUCGGGUAGCCACACCCCCGGGCUGGGCCAUCACCAGCACACCUGCUCUCCAUCCCGGUGAUUACACGGAGAUCCACUUAAUCCGGCGCUGACGGAUGCUCCACGCCAGUCCGUAGUCAUCCCCACAGUGGUAACCAGACUUCCACGAAAAGUGUGCAUUCUCUUCUGCUUGGAACUUUGUUUAACCUGCCUACUUCUGUCAAGGUUUCUACUCGGCGUCUGCUACCUGCCUGUCCUCCGGCUCAACUGGAUCUCGCGGUGCUCACCUGGCCCACUCGCCAUUCCACGGACUUCCUGCCCCCACGGACUGCCACACUUCCCUCCCGAGCUCCCACGGUUCCGUUCUAUCCCCCCCGCCGUCCCGAUCCCGGCUUCCUCGUGUCAUUGUUUCCCCGGAUUUUUAGUUUCUGUUUUGCUCUCUACUUUCCCCGGGUCGCCUUUCGUUGUUUUAAUAAAGUGUCUUUUUGUUA